rnacentral:lncRNA from 1 species
GCAAUGAAUUUAUCAACUUGGUACAAGUUGGCAACCUAGGCCUUUUAAAUCAUUAUACGUUCUCCUUUAUCUGACCAUUGGACCCUCUCGCCUUGUUUCAGGUUUCCUUUUAAAACCAAAAUUUCUCAUUUAUUUUGUGCUUGCAAUAGUUGCAUAUUGUUGUAGAUUGUCGCAGCGCAAGACUACUGUUUUUGGUUGUUGGAGCUCCCUGACCAACUUUUCUCUGUCCU